CAGAGCGUCUCAAGGAAGGAAACUCAAUAUUUGGUGAUGUCCCUGGGUUCCAGACGUCAGGCAGUCAUUGACUGCAAAGAAGUUUCAUCCAAUUUGUGUCUGUGUGCAUGGUGAACAAGUGCUGCUCAAGGGUCAAUGCGAAAGGCCAAAAGUUUGUCGGAGUGGAGAUUGUUGAGGGUGCGCAGGUCUGGCAGGCGCAGGAGGAGUUUCGGGAAGAGGGCGGUGUCAUCUGGACGACGUCGGGUGAUCAGUGACCGUAGGGCGCGAAUCAGACCCUCCUGGAGCUGCUCUACAGCCCAUAUGUCUGAGAUGCCAGAACGAUCUGAAGAGCACAGAGGAUGCCAAGACCAGCACCACAGCCAUGAAGAGAGCCAUUUCAUCAGGCUCCAACCCCAGGGAGCCCAACUUCUCACUGAACUCAAACAUUGCGUCCAGUAGGGAGCCCAUGCCCAAAGCCCGCA